rnacentral:rRNA from 1 species
UACGUAGGGUGCGAGCGUUGUCCGGAAUUAUUGGGCGUAAAGAGCUUGUAGGCGGUUUGUCGCGUCUGCUGUGAAAAUCCGGGGCUCAACCCCGGACUUGCAGUGGGUACGGGCAGACUAGAGUGUGGUAGGGGAGACUGGAAUUCCUGGUGUAGCGGUGAAAUGUGUAGAGAUCGGGAGGAACACCGGUGGCGAAGGCGGGUCUCUGGGCAUUUCCUGACGCUGAGGCGCGAAAGCGUGGGGAGCAAACGGG